rnacentral:rRNA from 1 species
GACGAACGCUGGCGGCGUGCUUAACACAUGCAAGUCGAACGGUAAGGCCCUUCGGGGUACUCGAGUGGCGGACGGGUGAGUCACACGUGGGUGAUCUGCUCUGCACUUUGGGAUAAGCCUGGGACACUGGGUCUAAUACCGAAUAGGACCACGCGCUUCAUGGUGUGUGGUGGACUGCUUUUGCGGUGUGGGAUGGGCCCGCGGCCUAUCAGCUUGUUGGUGGGGUAAUGGCCUACCAAGGCGACGACGGGUAGCCGGCCUGAGAGGGUGACCGGCCACACUGGGACUGAGAUACGGCCCAGACGCCAACGGGGGGCAGCGGUGGGGAAUAUUGCACAAUGGGCGCAAGCCUGAUACAGCGACGCCGCGUGAGGGAUGACGGCCUUCGGGUUGUAAACCUCUUUCGAUUGGGACGAAGCGCAAGUGACGGUACCUGAAGAAGAAGCACCGGCCAACUACGUG